rnacentral:rRNA from 1 species
GAUGAACGCUGGCGGCGUGCCUAAUACAUGCCAGUCGAGCGAACAGACGAGAAGCUUGCUUCUCUGAUGUUAGCGGCGGACGGGUGAGUAACACGUGGAUAACCUACCUAUAAGACUGGGAUAACUUCGGGAAACCGGAGCUAAUACCGGAUAAUAUUUUGAACCGCAUGGUUCAAAAGUGAAAGACGGUCUUGCUGUCACUUAUAGAUGGAUCCGCGCUGCAUUAGCUAGUUGGUAAGGUAACGGCUUACCAAGGCAACGAUGCAUAGCCGACCUGAGAGGGUGAUCGGCCACACUGGAACUGAGACACGGUCCAGGCUCCUACGGGAGGCAGCAGUAGGGAAUCUUCCGCAAUGGGCGAAAGCCUGACGGAGCAACGCCGCGUGAGUGAUGAAGGUCUUCGGAUCGUAAAACUCUGUUAUUAGGGAAGAACAUAUGUGUAAGUAACUGUGCACAUCUUGACGGUACCUAAUCAGAAAGCCACGGCUAACUACGUG